rnacentral:misc_RNA from 1 species
GAUGAAGAACGCAGCAAAAUGCGAUAAGUAAUGUGAAUUGCAGAAUUCAGUGAAUCAUCGAAUCUUUGAACGCACAUUGCGCCCGCCAGUAUUCUGGCGGGCAUGCCUGUUCGAGCGUCAUUUCAACCCUCAAGCCCCCGGGUUUGGUGUUGGGGAUCGGGCUGUACUCCAGCCCGGCCCCGAAAUCUAGUGGCGGUCUCGCUGCAGCCUCCAUUGCGUAGUAGCUAACACCUCGCAACUGGAACGCGGCGCGGCCAAGCCGUUAAACCCCCAACUUCUGAAUGUUGACCUCGGAUCAGGUAGGAAUACCCGCUGAACUUAAGCAUAUCAAUAAGCGGAGGA